GACCCAUUCGUCAAGUGGUUACGACACGGCUUUUUCAUGGCUGCAUCCUGAGUUCGAACCUCAGAUGGGUUA
rnacentral:tRNA from 1 species